GGUUCAUUUUUACUUGGUUUCUCCAAAUUCCCUUUAUAUGUCCGACUAUUUCAAAGCGCGUCGUUGGAGGAGAAGCUGAGGAACCUGGGCUUGAGUUUUCCUGUCCACUGCUCCAGAGGGAGUGUUAGGAAGUUAAGGGAAUGUGACAUCUCUUUAAAGUGAAAAGCAAAAGCAGAAAUUAUAUGGAAGGAGAGAGGCAAGAGGAGACAGGUUUCCAGAAACUUUUGCUGGCGGUAAUUCUAGUGAAUAUGGGUGAAACCAGGGGGCACUGUGUUUCGCCCUUGACUCCUGUGGAAUCUGAACCCGGCCUAGUUUGCAGCACUCGUGGCUGCGUAAAACGUUGAGCGAGUUGCUUGGCCUCUUUGUUCUUUUGUGUCCACAUACUUAAAAUGGGGAUGGAUAAUACCAAUCUUAAAAGAGUUGGUAGUGAGUUUCAAAUGAGUUACUACUCUUCACGUGCUUAGAACGAAUCCUUGCAUAUAUGAGUUUUUGUUAUUAUUACCUACCUGUGCCUUCUUUCCCCUUAAAGAUUCCACACUAAAAGAAUUCUGACCUUAUUACUUAUCCUUUGCUCAGAAUUCUGCCAGCCUAUUGCCCAUGAACCUGUAGGCCUGUGUUUUCCAUCCAUGUCAUUAAUGAUCUGAGGGUAUGGUAUAAUUACCUGUGACUGGAGGCUUUCUACUGGGUGUUUAUCAUUAAAUAAGAUCGGAAACUACCGCUGUAUGAUACUAGGUCUGCCCUUGAUAGCUGUGCUGAGUAAAUGAAACAUCUUUGUUUAGUUUUUCACUGAAUACUGUUUCAUGUAUAGUCUUAACCUAGGCACUUUUUUUUUUUUUUUGACCCAAUACCAAAAAGGCCAUGAUUGCAGCAUUCUUGGUUUCUCAUGUUUCCGGGAUGGCCCUGGGACUCAGGCGGGGAAUUUCUGGGCAGCCUGGCAGCACUUCUUGUUAAUGAAUGAGGAAGCUUGGCGCGAAUCUCAUCUUACGCUACUGUUAGGAAAUCAGCGGUGAUCCCUUGGAAUACUCCACAGAGCUCCUAAGCAGCUUUGCUUCAGUUUUGACUCAGUGAAAUGAAGGUUAGAGGUUGGGGACUGGUAUCUACAGAGUAGAUUCUUUUCCGUUUGAUCUUUUUUUUUUUUUUUUUUUAAUAUUAUGGCUGCGCCCUCAGCAUAUGGAAGUUCUCGGGCCAGGAAUUGAAUCCAAGCUGCAGAUGUGGCAGCGCCAGCUCCUUUAACCCAUUGCACUGGGCCAGGGAUCAAACCUGUGCCUCUGUAGUGAUCUGAGCUGCUGCAGUCAGAUUCUUCAUCCACUGUGCCACAGUGGGAACUCCUCUAAUUGGCUUUUUAGUGCUGAGAGCUUGGGUGGGUGCUGUGGAAUCAAAGACAUCUUUAUUCCCCCCGCCCUUAGCCUGUACACAAAUAGAAAUGUCUGCUGGCAGACUUAAGUGCUUUCUGUGAGCUUCAGGUUUGCUUGGUGCUCUCUGGAAGGCUCUACUUCAAUCCCUGGCCCAGCACAGUGGGUUACAGACACUGGCGUUGCCACAGCUGUGGUGUAGGUCACAACUAUGCCUUGGAUCUGAUCCCUGGCCUGGGAAGUCCAUAUGCC
rnacentral:lncRNA from 1 species